CUCUCCGCUCCGGGCGGUGGGGCCGGGCCGCCCGAUGGCAGCGAGGGGAGGAGGCGGCGGGCGGAGGGGGAGCGCCGCAGCCCCCGGCACAGCGAUGCUCUGCGGCGCCGCACCGAACGCCCCGGGGACGGCGGUCCCUAUGGCACCGCGCUGCCUCCGCGGGGGGCUCGGGGGGCUCCGUUUUCAUCGCCUUUUCUGAGACAGAUCUGCCAUAGCAGGGUGGGCAGAAUCCAGACAACAAGAUGCCCAAGGCUGACACUUAUGCAAUGUGUAGAAACCGAGGCUGAGCGAUUCAAGUGGAGCUGGAUUUCUAAGCUGCAAUCCCCACUGCUGCCUUGCCAAGGCUUUGCACAACCGGUGGGGUUUUUCCUAUCAGCAGAACCAUCUCCUUACAAAGAGCACCAAUCCUGCCUGUAGCAAACGGAGGAAACCUCUCUGAAUUGAGUGAUGCUCUCUGAUUUACUACCCUAAUUGUGGAGCUAUUAUUACAAUGUGUGCGUCUGCACCCGCCUCCCUCCGCCACGCUGACAACUCGAGAUGUAACUCAGCGCUUUGGAGGACGCAGCGAGUCAAUACACUGCACCUACUUGUCUGAUUUACAUGCGUUUCAAUGGCUGACACCUUUGCAUUAAUAUUGUCAUUAAACCACGUGCAUAUUCCCGCUGGAUUCUUCCUGUUAUCCAAAUGGAAUUUAUACCUUUCUUAAUUGGAAAACUUACCCCAUCCUUUCUUCUGAGCUGGACCGUUCCUGUGUUGGGUGUGGGGAUGCCCGGUGAUCUGGUGCUCAGUUCCCAGCAGAAGCAGAGCUGCUCUGCAUUCAGACAACGCCUUCAGACACAGGGGUUGGAUUUUGGGUGUGGAGGCGGGAGUUGGACCUUUGUCCCCCCCAGUUUGGGAUAUUCUAUGAUGCUACGGUAUAAAGAACAAUAAAAUAUCCCUCCUCCAUCAGCCCCCCUCCAAAACCAGAAACACCAUCAGCACGUUGCAAUGUGACAAUGGCAUAUCUCCAUGGUGUCCUUCCUGGGGACACCUCCUGCAAGGCCAGUGGGGCUCUGAGGGAUGCCAGCAGUCACGCAGUGAGGAAGAACCAAGACCACGGCUUGGAUGCGUGCAUGAGCAUCGCUGCACUGCCAGGAUCCUGAGCAAACUGUGCUCCUGCCUCCAUCCGAGCCUCCGUCAGGAGGAACCUGUGACAUUUUAGGAGCUGUGACAACGACAAGCGGCCUCCCCAGGCUGUGAGUCACCCUCCAGAGAAAGCAUCCCACCUCCUGCCUGCUGCAUGCAUCAGCAGAGGGUGCAAGCGUGGCUGCAUGGCCGGGCAUCGGUGUGCGGUGGCAAGAGGACACACAGAGAGAUGGUGGUGGCCCCAAUGUGAUGGAAGGGUGUCUAAAACUGGAGGCAGCAAGAGAACACGGUGGCACAGGUGUGGGGAGCAAGCUUUGCUCUUGCAUAGCUCGUGCUGCUGGUGAACCCCAAAAUACAACUGAUGUGGUCGCACGGGAAAGGAGGAGCAGAUGAUCUCGUGGUCAUGGGGCCAUGUUAUGGUCUCUGGGGCAGUUGGGUCCAUGGGAAGGUCUCCUGAUCCUGCAACGAGCUCCUGAUCCCUGGGAAGAUCCAUUGGCCCUUGGCAAAGCAUGGCCAAAGGGAACCCAGCCAAUAUUACCUACCUGCAAAGAUAAAAUCACAUACGUUCUCCCUCUGUGAUGUUUUCCAUAUUAAAAAUAUGUGUUUAUUUAAAGAAAA